rnacentral:rRNA from 1 species
UACGGAGGGGGGCUAGCGUUGUUCGGAAUUACUGGGCGUAAAGCGUGUGCAGGCGGCCUGUUAAGUCCGAUGUGAAAUCCCUGGGCUCAACCCAGGAAUUGCAUUGGAAACUAGCGGGCUGGAGUUCGGGAGAGGGUAGUGGAAUUCCUGGUGUAGAGGUGAAAUUCGUAGAUAUCAGGAGGAACACCGGUGGCGAAGGCGGCUACCUGGACCGAUACUGACGCUGAUACACGAAAGCGUGGGGAGCAACAGGAUUAGAAACCCGUUGUGA